AUGAACGCUGGCGGCGUGCCUAAUACAUGCAAGUCGAGCGAACAGACGAGGAGCUUGCUCCUCUGACGUUAGCGGCGGACGGGUGAGUAACACGUGGAUAACCUACCUAUAAGACUGGGAUAACUUCGGGAAACCGGAGCUAAUACCGGAUAAUAUAUUGAACCGCAUGGUUCAAUAGUGAAAGACGGUUUUGCUGUCACUUAUAGAUGGAUCCGCGCCGCAUUAGCUAGUUGGUAAGGUAACGGCUUACCAAGGCAACGAUGCGUAGCCGACCUGAGAGGGUGAUCGGCCACACUGGAACUGAGACACGGUCCAGACUCCUACGGGAGGCAGCAGUAGGGAAUCUUUCGCAAUGGGCGAAAGCCUGACGGAGCAACGCCGCGUGAGUGAUGAAGGUCUUCGGAUCGUAAAACUCUGUUAUUAGGGAAGAACAAAUGUGUAAGUAACUAUGCACGUCUUGACGGUACCUAAUCAGAAAGCCACGGCUAACUACGUG
rnacentral:rRNA from 1 species